rnacentral:rRNA from 1 species
AUUGAACGCUGGCGGCAGGCUUAACACAUGCAAGUCGAACGAGUGGCGGACGGGUGAGUAAUGCUUGGGAAUCUGGCUUAUGGAGGGGGAUAAAGACGGGAAACUGUCGCUAAUACCGCGUUCCAUAGGAUGAGCACAAGUGGGAUUAGGUAGUUGGUGGGGUAAUGGCCUACAAAGCCGACGAUAUCUAGCUGGUCUGAGAGGAUGACCAGCGACGUCGGGUCUGAGACACUGCCCGAACUACUACGGAAGGCAGUGGUGGGGAAUAUUGCGGAAUGGGGGAAACCUGACGAAUCCAUGCCGCAUGAUUGAAGAGGGUCUUGGGGUUGUAAAGUUCUUACGGUUAAGAGGCGUUACUCACAGAAGAAGCACCGGCUAACUCCGUGCCAGCAGCCGCGGUAAUAC